UUCCUACGGGGGGCAGCAGUGAGGAAUAUUGGUCAAUGGGCGGGAGCCUGAACCAGCCAAGCCGCGUGAAGGAAGAAGGCGCCAAGCGUCGUAAACUUCUCUUGUCGGGGAACAAAGGGCGCCACGUGUGGCGUUGUGAGUGUACCUGAAGAAAAAGCAUCGGCUAACUCCGUGCCAGCAGCCGCGGUAAUACGGAGGAUGCGAGCGUUAUCCGGAUUUAUUGGGUUUAAAGGGUGCGCAGGCGGUCUGUUAAGUCAGCGGUCAAAGCCCGGGGCUCAACCCCGGCCCGCCGUUGAAACUGGCAG
rnacentral:rRNA from 1 species